rnacentral:rRNA from 1 species
AUUGAACGCUAGCGGGAUGCCUUACGCAUGCAAGUCGAACGGCAGCGCGGACUUCGGUCUGGCGGCGAGUGGCGAACGGGUGAGUAAUGUAUCGGAACGUGCCCAGUAGCGGGGGAUAACUACUCGAAAGAGUAGCUAAUACCGCAUACGCCCUACGGGGGAAAGGGGGGGAUCGCAAGACCUCUCACUAUUGGAGCGGCCGAUACCGGAUUAGCCAGUUGGUGAGGUAAAGGCUCACCAAGGCGACGAUCCGUAGCUGGUUUGAGAGGACGACCAGCCACACUGGGACUGGGACACGGCCCAGACUCCUACGGGAGGCAGCAGUGGGGAAUUUUGGACAAUGGGGGCAACCCUGAUCCAGCCAUUCCGCGUGUGCGACGAAGGCCUUCGGGUUGUAAAGCACUUUUGGCAGGAAAGAAAUCGCACGGAUUAAUACUCUGUGUGGAUGACGGUACCUGCAGAAUAAGCACCGGCUAACUACGUGCCAGCAGCCGCCGUAA